UCCGGGAUAGUGUAAUGGUAGCACAAAUGACUCUGGAUCAUUUUGUCUGGGUUCGAGUCCUAGUCCCGGAG
rnacentral:tRNA from 1 species